rnacentral:snRNA from 1 species
GGGUCACUUCGGCUGAUCUGGCUGGCUCCAGAUGGGUGGGAGCUGGAUGGGUGUCCCUUUCCUGCCUAAGCACUCCACGUGUGUCCCUUCUGAGGCAGCGCACAUGGCGGAAGAGAACAAUGUUCCCCACUGGAGGAGGACCAUGGUUUGGUCAGGGGUACACACAGUGGGCUCCCCUGCUAGAACCUCCAAACACACUCCCAUGAGGGGAAGGCUGUCCCCAGCAGAGGGCUUCGGAGACCCUGCUUCCCUGGGCUUAUUGCCUUCAUAAUUUGCCAUCCUGC